CAUGCACACAUUGCCUGACUGCGAACGUGGCAAUCAGACUGGAGCUCCAACACCAUCCAUUCUAUAAAAAUAAUAUUUAAUACCCAAAUUUCCUUUAAUCAUUAAUAAUAAAUUAUAAUGUUGACAUCCAACAAAACUCCAAUAAAACAUGUGCUCACCUUUGCCCUUUUGUGUACCCUCUCAUUCCCGAGUGUUUGGGCCCAGUUCUUUUCUAUGGACUAUAAGGAAAGUGCUUAUCGAGAGCAGCACUCCCUAAACAGACCCUACGCCGAUAGUGGACACUGGGAUGGAUUUGGUGCGGCUGCAAUAACCCCAGAAUAUAUUCGGCUGACUCCAGAUCUCAAAUCGCAACAAGGGGGAAUCUGGAAUAACAAACGCGUCGAUAUGCGGGGCUGGGGGGUUCACAUUAAUUUCAAAAUUCACGGACAAGGCUCUAUAAAUGGAGAUGGGAUAGCCUUCUGGUACUCCAAGGAACGGAUGAUGCCCGGUCCCGUAUUCGGAUCAAAGGACUAUUUCUCAGGUCUCGGGGUUUUCAUCGACACCUUCGGAAACCACGUGUCUCCAUCCACUGCUUCAAGAAGUGAAUCACACCGCAAUCACGAACACCCUUACAUAUCCAUCAUUGUGAAUAACGGAAGUCAGAAAUAUGAUCAUGAUCACGACGGGGGUCAUCAAAAUUUGGGUGGAUGUUCGGUAAAAGUUCGAAACAAAAAUUCCACCCAAAUCCUGGUCCGAUAUGACAUCAGUAUGCUCACCGUACUUCGCGACGUCGAUGGGAAAGGGUUGUGGGACAUUUGCGCCCAAGUGGAUGGUAUCGAGCUACCGACCGGAUAUUACUUUGGGCUCUCAGCCGCAACAGGGGAUCUGUCUGAUAAUCACGACAUUUUUUAUGUCCAGACGUACGAGGCAAACAAUAACGAAAUGGGUGUCCAUAGGAUACACGGGAGUAGGGACGGUAUUAUUCCAUCCGCAAGAAGAGAUAGAUCACCACAGGAUGAAGGUGGGGCCUGGUCUGUCAUCAGAAUUAUUCUAGUUUUAGGGGCUGUAGGUGUAAUUGCCGCAUGUGGAUAUGGACUGGUCGCCAUUACUGCAACUAAACCUAAAGGAACGUAAUGAAUUUGAAGGAAUGCUUAGUUCGAGAGCAACAAACCAUACAUUGGCACUUGCACGGUGUUCGAUUGUACUUCGGUUAAGUACGGAUGGCUCGCAAUGCGAUUUUUGAUACGUCCAGUGGCCGCGGAAGCUUGGGGACAUGGGGACAGUCAAUGUAUUUGUCCCCACAUUAUCGAAAUAAGAAGAUUCAGCCUAACCUGACACCUAAGUUGUUGACAUACCCACGACGCCAGGUAAUGGGUUGGGAUCCUCCCUGGGGCUGUGGGUAUGUCAACGCGUCCCUAACCUUACCGAUGCCAAGUGCUAGGAAAUGACUGAAAAUAAAGAACCUUCCCAACCCGGGUACGCUCGCAUUUUUUGAAAUUUCUAUAGGUUCUUUAAAAGAAUUUAGGAAAGAUGUGCCAAAUGCAACUUAAUACAAGAAGUAAAAUUACAUGCUAA